GUAGUCAACAUGCCCAGGGGACGUGGAUAACCUCGGGAAACUGAGAAUAAACUACGAUAGGUCACGAUUUCUGGAAUGGAUCAUGGCCUAAAUCUACAUGGCCCCUGGAUUGGACUGCGGCCGAUCAGGCUGUUGGUGAGGUAAUGGCCCACCAAACCUAUAACCGGUACGGGCUCUGAGAGGAGAAGCCCGGAGAUGGGCACUGAGACAAGGGCCCAGGCCCUAUGGGGCGCAGCAGGCGCGAAACCUCUGCAAUAGGCGAAAGCCUGACAGGGUUACUCUGAGUGAUUUCCGCUAAGGGGAUCUUUUGGCACCUCUAAAAAUGGUGCAGAAUAAGGGGUGGGCAAGUCUGGUGUCAGCCGCCGCGGUAAUACCAGCACCCCGAGUGGUCGGGACGAUUAUUGGGCCUAAAGCAUCCGUAGCCGGUUCUGCAAGCCUUCCGUUAAAUCCAGCCGCUCAACGGAUGGGCCGCGGAGGAUACUACAGGACUAGGAGGCGGGAGAGGCAAGCGGUACUCAGUGGGUAGGGGUAAAAUCCUUUGAUCCAUUGAAGACCACCAGUGGCGAAGGCGGCUUGCCAGAACGCGCUCGACGGUGAGGGAUGAAAGCUGGGGGAGCAAACCGGAUUAGAUACCCGGGUAGUCCCAGCUGUAAACGAUGCAGACUCGGUGAUGGGCUAGCCUUGUGCUAGCCCAGUGCCGCAGGGAAGCCGUUAAGUCUGCCGCCU
rnacentral:rRNA from 1 species